GGUCUAAAGGGAAAACCAGGAUCUUCAGGGCCUUCAGGGGAAAAAGGAGUCAAGGGUCAACCAGGGCCAAAAAGGAUGAGCGGUUCUCCUAGAAGGAGAGAAAGUAAAGGUGUUGCAGGAAAGCCAGGACCUCAAGGACCAAAAUGGAAACAUGGUAAUCCUGGUCUACCUGGAAAGCCA